rnacentral:rRNA from 1 species
GAGUUUGAUCCUGGUUCAGGACGAACGCUGGCGGCGCGCCUAACACAUGCAAGUCGAACGAGAGAUGAGGAGCUUGCUCUUCAAAUCGAGUGGCGAACGGGUGAGUAACGCGUGAGUAACCUGCCCUGGAGUGGGGGACAACAGUUGGAAACGACUGCUAAUACCGCAUAAGCCCACGAUCCGGCAUCGGAUUGAGGGAAAAGGAUUUAUUCGCUUCAGGAUGGACUCGCGUCCAAUUAGCUAGUUGGUGAGGUAACGGCCCACCAAGGCGACGAUUGGUAGCCGGACUGAGAGGUUGAACGGCCACAUUGGGACUGAGACACGGCCCAGACUCCUACGGGAGGCAGCAGUGGGGAAUAUUGCACAAUGGGGGAAACCCUGAUGCAGCGACGCCGCGUGAAGGAAGAAGUAUCUCGGUAUGUAAACUUCUAUCAGCAGGGAAGAUAAUGACGGUACCUGACUAAGAAGCCCCGGCUAACUACGUGCCAGCCGCCGCGGUAAUAC